rnacentral:tRNA from 1 species
GUUACUGUAGUUGAAUUACAACAGUGGUUUUUCAUUCCACCAGUUUCGGUUUGAGUCCGGGCAGAAACU